rnacentral:lncRNA from 1 species
AGCUUGGCGGCCCGUUCGCGGGCACUCUGGACGGCCAGGGUUUGGUCAUGGAGUUCUGGGCUGCGCAAGAGCGCUGCCCACCUGUCCUCGCUGAAGGCGGAGCCGAUGGCUUCACAUUCCCACAACACAUGGUUCAAUGUUGCUAAUUGUCCACAGGCAGGGCAGUCCGCACUGGCAUACCGUUCAGGGUAUAUUGCAUGAAGAACCGCAGGGUUAGGAUACGCACGGGCUUGUAAUAGUCUAAGGGUAACUGCCCUCGCCCUACACAAGGCAGGGUGUGGGAGGGGGAAUACCCGUCUUGACAGAUAGAAAUGUUUAGUUAUCUCGUUGAACGUCAGCAAGGGUUCCCAGCGAGGCAGGGGGACUGCGGAGGCGGCGCGGUCAGUAAGUCCUCGCGCGGCCUCGAGCUUAGCUUGAGGCUGAGGUA